rnacentral:misc_RNA from 1 species
CUUCGUGCCUGCUCACCGCCGCCACUUCCAGCUAGGCCGUCGUCGCCGCGCCCCACCAGCUUCGUAACUACACUACCUGUCAUCCAGUAGCCCUGUUCGUCGUCGACACUCCAGUUCGAUUAAGGUACAUCUGCAGCGGGAAGGCCCAGACGAAGGAGAAGAGCACGGGGAUGUACCAGAGCGCCACGGUCCCCGCCACCGCCGAGAUGUCCGGGUCCUGCCCCAGCGCCACCAGCAGCGGCUCCGUGAACAGGUACACGGGGAGCUGCACCACGGCGCACGCCGACAGGAUGAUCCACGACCGCUGCAGGUAGAUGCCCAGCAUGUGGUACUGCUUCGCCCCGUACGACUGCCCGCACAGCGUCUCCAGCGCGCUCGCCAUGCCCAGCUGCAUGCAGAUGCAUAUGUAUGUAAUCCUCCUAUAUAUAUGGAUUGAUUCCAGAUGCUAAUUACUCCCUCCGUUCUUUUUUAUUUGUCGCCUAUAUUAGUUGAAAUCUAGCAAUAUAGUAGUAAUUAACAGAGGGACAAGCACGUGUUUGUGCCGCGGCCAAGAGUUGAAAUGUACUAGCAAUUAACCUCG